CGGCAACAGCCUGUCUCAAACAGUCGGUGCUGUGGAACUUCCUCAGACACCAUGUCGUCAACUGCUCGCUCACGGGGUCCUACCCUGCUGCUUGUAGAGGUCCUCUGUGUCCUAGCCUGUCUUUCGGUCCUGUCUGCUGCAUCCGACGCUGUCAAUUCAACAAGUUACUCCACAGGUUCAAAUUUCACAACCCAUUACACGGAAAAUGGAACAAGCGUUGUCGUGAUAAACUCUACUAGAU